UACGGGGGGGGCAAGCGUUGUUCGGAAUUACUGGGCGUAAAGGGCGCGUAGGCGGUUCGAUAAGUCAGCUGUGAAAACCAUGGGCUUAACUCAUGGCCUGCAGUUGAGACUGUCGGGCUGGAGUGUGGGAGAGGAGAGUGGAAUUCCUGGUGUAGCGGUGAAAUGCGUAGAUAUCAGGAGGAACACCGGUGGCGAAGGCGGCUCACUGGCUCGACACUGACGCUGAGGUGCGAAAGCGUGGGGAGCAAACAGG
rnacentral:rRNA from 1 species